rnacentral:tRNA from 1 species
GCCUGGGUGGCUCAGUCGGUUAAGCGUCUGACUUUGGCUCAGGUCAUGAUCUCAUGGUUUGUGAGUUCGAGUCCCGCGUUGGGCU